rnacentral:lncRNA from 1 species
AGGUGGGUAAAUUUGGUAACUACAUGAUCCCGAGAGGUGUUAGAUGACAAUGUGAUUCUAAAAUUCAAGAACAAGAAUCAUAGAACCUGGAUUGGCUGCAUAACGAUGCAUUGGUUCUCGAGAUAAUCCGAGCAUUAAUUGAGACCGGCAGCUUGGUAAACGUGAUCUACAAGGAAACACUUGAAAAGUGGAGCUCCGUAAUC